GACGAACGCUGGCGGCGUGCCUAAUACAUGCAAGUCGAGCGGACGAACUUUUGGUGCUUGCACCGAAUUUUCGUUAGCGGCGGACGGGUGAGUAACACGUGGGCAACCUGCCCUGUAGAUUGGGAUAACUCCGGGAAACCAGGGCUAAUACCGAAUAAUACUUUUUAACUCAUGUUAGAAAGUUGAAAGAUGGUUUACGCUAUCACUACAGGAUGGGCCCGCGGCGCAUUGGCUAGUUGGUGAGGUAACGGCUCACCAAGGCGACGAUGCGUAGCCGACCUGAGAGGGUGAUCGGCCACACUGGGACUGAGACACGGCCCAGACUCCUACGGGAGGCAGCAGUAGGGAAUCUUCCACAAUGGGCGAAAGCCUGAUGGAGCAACGCCGCGUGAGUGAAGAAGGAUUUCGGUUCGUAAAACUCUGUUGUAAGGGAAGAACAAGUAGCGUAGUAACUGGCGCUACCUUGACGGUACCUUAUUAGAAAGCCACGGCUAACUACGUGCCAGCAGCCGCGGUAAUAC
rnacentral:rRNA from 1 species